ACUGGUUUUCUCGUUGCUCGUUAAAAGUGUUCUACAAAAAAAGUUUCCCCCUCCCCAGCCUAUUUGAGGAUGAGAUGACUCAGUCCAGAGACAAGAUCUAUUCUUCUUAUAAUUUUGUCGAGAGUUCUUGGAGUUGGAGGAGUAUAACUGGAGAAUUAAGAGAAUGUCUCAAGUGACGUCAUGAAUGUCAAGCAGCUGGUUCAGCUCAAAGUGGAUUUCCUGACAAAUAUUCACACCUACGCUGGAGUGUAUCCUAGACGAGUGUAUAAAUAGCACCAAUCCAACUGCUAGCUGAGGCAAUUGACAAAGCGGACGGCUAAAUUAAGGCUGGAAUUAAGAGAUGGAGAUGUACCGAAGAGAGGC